GUCACAACCUCUAUGCAGUUCAGUUACCCCAUUUAUAAAGUAAGGGAGUUAGAGGGCCUCUAAGGUCUCUUUUACCUCUAAUUCUCUGAUCCUGGGACUAGGUCAUAUAUCCUGCUGACCAAUGUCACAUAUACAAUUAGUGGCAGAGCCAAUUUUCCCUGACUGGUGCCUAGUCCAGUGCUCUUCCCUACUACACUGAUAGUACACACUGCUCACAUUUCACAUGAAAGUUAAAUACUAAUGAGUGGCAGCCCCUUCUAACAGUUACCUUAGGAUUUCCUUGUCCAUAUAAUAAGCAUAAUUAUAGUUGUAUUAUUUAUCACCAUAGGGUUGGCUUGUGGAUCAAGGUUACAAAAUCAAAUAUUAGAGCUAAAAGGAACCUUUAGAAAUCAUGUAGUCAGUCUAACUCUCUUUUAUAGGUGAGGAAACGCCUGGAGACAUUAUGUGGCUUUUGAAAUGACUUUUUAUAACUGGAGUGGUAUGCGGCUAUAAAUUAUCGUGUGGCUCAGUGUCAAAAUAAGUAGUUCUGAUGGAGGGAAGAAAAAGAUAGUUUUUUCACACCCUACUACUUCCAGAUAUAUUCUCUGAUCCAGUGACAUUGGACUUCUGGCUGUUCCAAGAACAAAACACUCCUAUCUCCUGGCACACAUGAACCUCUUAUGGGAAAGUACAGGCUACUAACAAAUAAGGAUAAGCUUGUAAACAUGUUCAUAAGGCUCCUUUAUACAGAAGAUAUUCUUCAUCUUUGCAAAGCUGAAAUUGAUUGGGAGGAACCUA